rnacentral:lncRNA from 1 species
UUUGGGGUGAUGUCAUAUCAAUAGGUGGCACUAGUGAUCCCUCUUUGGUAGGCGGUGCUAGUGACCUCUAUCUAAUAGGUGACAACGGAGAAGAAGCAAAUUUGGGGAUAUUAUAACUAUGGUCCCCUUUCGUAAUUUUAAAAUUGGAGAAGUAGUUUCUUUAUUUAAAAAAGAAAGUAGAAGGGAAGAAGAGAGGGAGAAGAAAAAAAAGGUAAAAAAAAUUAAUAGAGAAGAUUAAAGGAAAAGAAAGUUAAGAAAGAAAGGAGAAGCAAAAAAAAUGAUAGUAGAGAAAUGGAAGGUGAAAGUAUGAGUAUGUUUUUUUUUUAAAAUAGAAUCGAUUAGAAAUUAUUUUGUUACUAAUUUGUUUAGUUUGAUGCUUAUUGUGAUUUGUUAUAAAUGUAAUUUUUUAUGUUGUUUUUAAAUUAUUUUUAAGUUAUUUUGUUAGUAAUUAUUAUAAAUUAAUUGUUAGUUAGUGAUGAC